ensembl:lncRNA
CUUAAGCUCCCUCUAGCGGAAUAAGUGGCAUUUCAUCCCAGUAUUCUCCCAAACGUCCGUUUCUAGCCAUAUUUGACUCUUAUUUUGAUGUUUCAAGUAAAUCUUGAAACCGGAAGUGCAGUGAACACUUCAAAAUAAAUGCACUACUUGUAGGACCUGCCGUAGUAUGAAUGGGAUUUAUCCUUAGCAAUAUUUUUUUCUUUAUUUUAACAACAAAAAUAAAUUGGUUCACCUUCGUUACAAUACAUAUUUUUUGUAUUAGGCAAUAAGAACAUGUUUCUGACACCAAACGAUGCCAACUUGCAGCAAAAGGUGUCUUAAGAGUGAACAUCUCGCGACAGGAGCUCAAUAUUUCAGCCUGUUGCUCGUCGUAUACUAAAAAAGUGUUCCAAUAAUAAACACUUCGCUGUGGUCACGGGCUGUAUGCAUUUAUAUUCUUAGCAGGAAUGUGAAUAGCCUCGCUUCUAACUUGUGGUGUCAUGUUUGUUUACAUACAUGCGUAGCGUCGGUGUUGAAGCGCGCUCCAGUGAGGAGGAGCGCGCACGCUGCGUCGAGGCUGCGUCACAGGUUUACAACCACGACGUCACCCUGCCCGCUGACUUCGUGCUUCCGGUGUUAUGGCCGCCUGCAUGGAAGGGGAGAGUUAUGUGUUAUUUGUGUGGAUAAACGUGUAGUUAGCCGGGUGAAGAUGGCGGUGACACGGCUGGUUCGGUUGGUCGCUUGUGGCUCGGCGGCCCGCGGGACUUUCCGCGGUUACAGCAAGGUGUCACCAUCUUCAUCUGAGCGUCUGCUUGUUUUUGAGUCUUUAAAGGCCAAAGGAGCUCAUCAAAGAGUCGCAGAAAAGCCUCUCAGCAUCCAUGUGGGCGAUGGCCGGACGAUAAAGGGAACGGCAAGUGUGACCACGCCUCUCGCAGUUGCACAAAGUGUGCGGUAAAUCCACAUCCCACAAUGGAAUUUUAUUAUUCUUAUUAUUUUGUUUUUUUUGGGGGGAUGGUACAAUUUUGUCCUUUUGUUUGCAAUUGCAGGAUAAAAGGGGCUCUGGUGAGUAAAGUGAAUGGGGAACUCUGGGAACUUGGGCGACCUCUAGAGGCGGACUGUGAACUGCAGCUUCUUGGGUUCGACACUGUUGAAGGAAAACUGGUAAAUACAGUCUGAAAUUUUACAGCUUUUUUUUUUUUUAAAUACAAACCUCAGUUUUGUGAAACACACAUAACCUCUAAUAAUUGUUGUUUGAAUGCAAAGAGACAGAAAUUAUCAUUUAUUUUAAAAACAUUUGUAAAUUGACAACUAUUUUUAAUAUUCUAAUCAGGCAGCAUGGAGGACAGCAGCAUGUGUCCUGAGUGGAGUAUUGGAAAAAUCUUUUGCUGCUGAGGUGUGCAGAGAAGGAGCUUCAGCGUUUGGGUUUUUCUGUGAUCAUGUGCUGGACGGCAGGUGAAACAUUCACUGUUUUCUCCCAUUAAAAGCUUUUUUUUUUUUUUUUUUUAAAUACAUUUAAAAAACACAUAUUCAGAUAUCUUGUUAAAAGGUAUUUAUGUAAGUCACAGUACUCUAUUUACUCUUUUAUUGACCCUUUCUCUAAUUAUUUGUCAAUUAGAAGAUGGAUAUACUCAGUUUAAUUGUUUUGUUCUUUUGGAUCUAGCAGUGCCUUAUCUUUAACGGAUGUGGAGCUGAGAUGUAAAGCGGCAGCAGCUCUCAAACUUCCCUUGUCCAGGCUGGAUCUGAAUACUGAGGAGUUCCAAAAACUUUUCCAGGUCAGCAGCUUUUGCUGCAUCGAUUUAAACAGCAAAGAUUCUGUAUAGUUAUCACAGCAGGUGAAAAUUGAGUUUUUAGUCCUAUUGGAAGGUUAGCUUUUUGUUUAUAUUCUUCCUGAUGAAUGUUUUGUCUUUUUUCAUGACCUUAUUUUAAAUGUUUUGUUUUUUUCCGUUUCAGGGGAGUACCAUGAGGCUGCAGCUUUCUGAAGAUCAGAUGAAUGGCUCCACUAUUACAGUCUACAGGUGUGCACCUGUCAGAUGUGGACGUCUUUCUUAAACCAUCACUCAGUGGUUAACGUUUUCCAUCUCUUUUAUGUGACUCAGGUGUGGGGACGGCUUAGCAGUGUGCAGCGGCCCCCUCCUUCCUCACACAGGCUUUCUUAAGGUUUUCAAGAUGCUACAAGUGCGUCUGUGUUUGUGUGUUUUCUUUAUCCAUUAUCAUGUUCUAGCCCAGUGUUUAAAGUAAAACCCUAAAAGACUUUUCUGCUCCCUUUUUUUAAGCUUAAAUUAGUAGAAAUGUUGGAAUGCUUAGUAAGCAUUCAGGCUAUAGUGAUUCUCCUGCACCUUUCUGUGCGUUUUUCUGCAUGUAAAAUCUCAAUCACACUUUCAACAAUCUUGGUAUCAAAACGUUCAGGACAUUUCUGCUUGUAUUUUUGGUAUUCAUAAGCUUUAUAGUUUUUGAAAUGUUGAACAAAUUAUGCCCCAUAGGAAAUGAGUGAGAAAGUCUUCAAAGUUGCUAAUCUACUAAAAAUUGUUAAAGAUGAAAAAACCUUUUAUAGCAAUAAAAAAGAAUGGAGUUUAGCCGAUGUUUUAGCAACAUCCUAACGUUCUUGGUCAUUUUGUUAUCUGCUAGAGUUUUUUGUUUUUUUUUUUUGGUUUGGCUAUUUUAGAGUUUAGCUUCUAUUGUAGCAACAAUACAACGUUUUUGACCAAUUAAGUUUAUUGAGGAAUUUUAGGCUAUUUUGGAGUUCAAUUCAAUUCAAUUCAAUUUUAUUUAUAUAGCCCAAUAUCACAAAUUCAAUUUGCCUCAUUGGGCUUCAUGCCUGCAGUUUUUACAGAUGCACAGAUGGAGUCAUAAAAUAUGCACAAUAGGUAAAAACUAACAGACUAUAAAGAACAGGUCAUCCCUGUCCUUAGACCCUCCCUCGCGGUAAGGAAAAACUCCUAAAAAAAACCUGAGUCAGGAAAAAAAAGAAGAAACCUUAGGGAUUCCACAUGAGGGAGAGAUCCCAUCCCAGGACGGACAGGCGAUACCAGAACGGUUAAAGAAAAGUUAGCUGCUAAAACUGCAUAUAUGAGUAGAGUUCAUUCAUAUAGAGCUGAGGGACAAGUGAUGAUUAAGUCCAUAGUCCAGAUGAGGCAGAACUGCAGACCACGACCAGGAGCAGGAGGACAGACGACCCACCAGGAAUCACUCCCACUCAGAGAUGCAGGAUGGUGACGGAUGGUGACGGGGCUUCAUCCAGAUGGGCGGGGCCUUCGUCAGGAUCACCAACAAGUCUCCCGGAAACUGCAAUCUCUCCCGGUCUCCCACAGGGGAGUCGGAGAGAAGGAAAAACAUGUGAAGCUAGUUAAGCUAGUUUUUAAGCAAUGUGCUAGCUUUUUCAUUUAAUUUGAUUUCUAUUGAGGUUUUUUAUGCCAAUUUGGAUUUUAGCUAAUAUUUUAGCAACAUGCUAACAUUUAUGGCUGAUUUAUAAAAUGAUCUACUGAAGUUUUUUUUAGAGUUUAGCUUCUAUUUCAGCACCAGAAAGUUUUUGACUAAUUUAGUUUGCUGAGGAAUUUUGUUAUUUUGGAGUUUAUCUGGUAAUUAAGCGACACAAUAAAUAUUUUUGCAAAAUUGGCAUGUAUUAGGAAUUUUAAAGCAAUUUUACCAUAAUUUUUACAGCAAUUUGGGUUAACUUCAGCGCUCUUUCGUAGUUCCCGAAACAACAUUUUUAGUCUUUUUGCACAUUUAACAUUUUGCAAAUGGUUUUUGCAUUUUCAGCAAAGUUAUUUCCUAAAGUAAAUAAAGUGAAUUGAGUCAACAUUUUUAGGAAAAAGCUUCAGCAUAUUU